rnacentral:rRNA from 1 species
GACGAACGCUGGCGGCGUGCCUAAUACAUGCAAGUUGAGCGAUGUAGAUUGGUGCUUGCACCAAUUUGAAGAGCAGCGAACGGGUGGGUAACGCGUGGGGAAUCUGCCUUUGAGCGGGGGACAACAUUUGGAAACGAAUGCUAAUACCGCAUAAUAACUUUAAACAUAAGUUUUAAGUUUGAAAGAUGCAAUUGCAUCACUCAAAGAUGAUCCCGCGUUGUAUUAGCUAGUUGGUGAGGUAAAGGCUCACCAAGGCGAUGAUACAUAGCCGACCUGAGAGGGUGAUCGGCCACAUUGGGACUGAGACACGGCCCAAACUCCUACGGGAGGCAGCAGUAGGGAAUCUUCGGCAAUGGACGAAAGUCUGACCGAGCAACGCCGCGUGAGUGAAGAAGGUUUUCGGAUCGUAAAACUCUGUUGGUAGAGAAGAACGUUGGUGAGAGUGGAAAGCUCAUCAAGUGACGGUAACUACCCAGAAAGGGACGGCUAACUACGUG